rnacentral:lncRNA from 1 species
CAGCAAAGAUGUCUAGCAGGGCCUUGGGUCCAGCAGUACCCACAUCACCUACAGCCUCUCAGUUGCCUUCUGUGGACCCGUGGACAUGUGGCCAGGAUGAACAGAGACACCUGCCUGGCAUUUCAUCUGGGAGCCAGGCGACUUCGCCAGGUGUCAUCCAACAGAGGGCUCCAUCUGCCGGGACUGUACUGUGGGGUCAGCUCCAGAUCUGUGACUGCUCUUGGCCGCUGACUGAAGAGGAGACGCUGUCGGAGGAGAGUAGCUUUUCCAUCUGGACACAAAACAAGGGCCCUUUGUAGGAUUUUCUUCAGUCUUCUAUUUUGCCAGACCUGUCACCUAACUGAGUUCAUUUCAUCUCUUUUUUUAUAUCAAGUUUGAAUUCAGGGAAUUUUUGUAUUAGGUACAAUUUAUCAAAACUGAAUUAAGAAAAAAAGUUUACAGUAUUAUUCUCAAAAUAACAUCAAUCUAUUUUUGUAAACCUCUUCAUGCUAUUAAAUUUUGCCCUGAAGGCCUCCUAAAAACAAAACAAAACAAA